GCUGCUGUAGCUCAGCGUAGAGCAUCGUCUCCUGUUCGAUCUCGCCGCAGAAGCUUUGUGAGGAAGGCGUGGGUUCGAAUCCCACCAGCAGCC